rnacentral:rRNA from 1 species
CACGUAGGGUGCGGGCGUUGUCCGGAAUUAUUGGGCGUAAAGAGCUCGUAGGCGGUGUGUCGCGUCGGCCGUGAAAACCUGCAGCUUAACUGUGGGCGUGCGGUCGAUACGGGCAUCACUGGAGUUCGGCAGGGGAGACUGGAAUUCCUGGUGUAGCGGUGAAAUGCGCAGAUAUCAGGAGGAACACCGGUGGCGAAGGCGGGUCUCUGGGCCGUAACUGACGCUGAGGAGCGAAAGCGUGGGGAGCGAACAGG